UCCCAUAUUGUCUAGAGGUUAGGAUACCUGGCUCUCACCCAGGAGGCCCGGGUUCAAUUCCCGGUAUGGGAA
rnacentral:tRNA from 1 species